rnacentral:rRNA from 1 species
AUUGAACGCUGGCGGCAGGCCUAACACAUGCAAGUCGAACGGUAACAGGAAGCGGCUUGCUGCUUUGCUGACGAGUGGCGGACGGGUGAGUAAUGUCUGGGAAACUGCCUGAUGGAGGGGGAUAACUACUGGAAACGGUAGCUAAUACCGCAUAACGUCGCAAGCCCAAAGAGGGGGACCUUCGGGCCUCUUGCCAUCGGAUGUGCCCAGAGGGGAUUAGCUAGUAGGUGGGGCAAAGGCUCACCUAGGCGACGAUCCCUAGCUGGUCUGAGAGGAUGACCAGCCACACUGGAACUGAGACACGGUCCAGACUCCUACGGGAGGCAGCAGUGGGGAAGAUUGCACAAUGGGCGUAAGCCUGAUGCAGCCAUGCCGCGUGUAUGAAGAAGGCCUUCGGGUUGUAAAGUACUUUCAGCGGGGAGGAAGGGAGUAAAGUUAAUACCUUUGCUCAUUGACGUUACCCGCAGAAGAAGCACCGGCUAACUCCGUG